rnacentral:rRNA from 2 species
AUGCAAGUCGUACGAGAGCUUUUAGCUCUAGUGGCGGACGGGUGAGUAACACGUGAGAAUCUGCCCUUAGGAGGAGGAUAACAGCUGGAAACGGUUGCUAAUACUCCAUAUGCCGAGAGGUGAAAGGAUUUAUCCACCUAAGGAGGAGCUCGCGUCUGAUUAGCUAGUUGGUAGGGUAAUAGCCUACCAAGGCGACGAUCAGUAGCUGGUUUGAGAGGAUGAUCAGCCACACUGGGACUGAGACACGGCCCAGACUCC